rnacentral:rRNA from 1 species
UCUUCGGAGGCACCUGCACGAGGUGCUGCAUUGGCUGUCGUCAGCUCGUGUCGUGAGAUGUUGGGUUAAGUCCCGCAACGAGCGCAGCCCCUAUUGUUAGUUGCCAUCAUUCAGUUGGGCACUCUAGCGAGACUGCCGGUAAUAACCGGAGAAGUGGGGAUGACGUCAAGUCAUCAUGCCCCUUAUGACCUGGGCUACACACGUGCUACAAUGGUUGGUACAACGAGUUGCGAGUCGGUGACGGCGAGCUAAUCUCUUAAAGCCAAUCUCAGUUCGGAUUGUAGGCUGCAACUCGCCUACAUGAAGUCGGAAUCGCUAGUAAUCGCGGAUCAGCAGGUCGCGGUGAAUACGUUCCCGGGCCUU